UGCAGAGGGUGCGAGCGUUAAUCGGAAUUACUGGGCGUAAAGCGUGCGUAGACGGCUAUCUAAGUCGGGUGUGAAAGCCCCGGGCUCAACCUGGGAAUUGCAUUCGAGACUGAAUAGCUAGGGUACGGUAGAGGGAAGUGGAAUUUCCGGUGUAGCGGUGAAAUGCGUAGAUAUCGGGAGGAACACCAGUAGCGAAGGCGGCUCGCUGGGCCAUUCCUGACGCUGAGACGCGAAAGCUAGGGGAGCGAACAGG
rnacentral:rRNA from 1 species